rnacentral:rRNA from 1 species
AAAAAAUGUAACAAGGUCUCCGUUGGUGAACCAGCGGAGGGAUCAUUA